CUCUCUACCCAAGGGUAGGGGUAAGGUCUGCGUACACACUACCCUCCUCAGACCCCACUAAGUGGGAUUAUACUGGGUUGUUGUUGUUGUUGUUUAUGCUGGCAUGAAGAUUGUUAGGGAAAAUUGGAAAAUCUACAGGCUAGAACUUCACUUGUACCAUGUUUAUUAUGUAUUUUUAUCGGAAAAAAUUCUCAGGCUUAUGGAAGGUUCCAUAACUCACUCCUGUCCAGUUUAAGAAAUUUGAGUAGGUCAAUGUUGGAGUUAGCCAACCAAGAAUAUAGUUCAUUUUUGCAGUCUUCAUCUGAUGACAUAAGUUCCCUUCCCGGUGACAUGUAUUUCAUUUAUACAAGCUAUAUUUAGUUAAUGAGAAUCAUGACAUUGACUUCAACAUUUUAGUCAGUUCAUAUGUGUUUCAUACACACUCACUAAGAAAUGCUUUAAUAAAAGAGUAUUGAGCAAGAAGAUGGCAGUUGAGGAGAGCAAAUAAGAGGGUCUACCACCAAUUAACAGUUUGUUCAGCUGGAGGCAACCAUUUAUACAUGGAAAUACUAAUAUUAAAAGAUGUUCUCACAAUAGGAAAAUCAAAAUGAUAAUGACAAUUUGAAGAAGAUCAGCGCAUGUAACAACAGGAAAUAUCCAACUUAAAUUACCUGAUAGAAUGUGAUUGGAAUUCUUGAGGUUAUUCCUGGACAAGUCAAGGCUUUCAAGGUAUGGAAGAUCAUUGAAUAGGCAAUGUGGCAUACUAUCAUCUAUAAGAUUAUUGUCGCUUAGAUCCAAUCUCCGGAUAUUCUUUAGUCCACACAUUGAUACAUGAAUUCAUUAAAAUGUGUUACAACUGCUUAGAUCUAAUCUCCGGAUAUUCUUUAGUCCACACAUUGAUACAUGUAUUCAUUAAAAUGUGUUACAACGAAACCAAGGUAAAAACUUUGAUGCAACAUCUACAAUUGAUUAAGAAUCUAUCACUGAGAAAAAACAAACCUCUGAGAAGUGGUAAAGAGGAACUAGGAAAAACCCCUGAAAGGUACAGCUAUUCUAGAGAUGCGAGGCUACAUACUUGAAAAUGAGGCAGAGCAUUACCAUUUAAAGGGUUGAAACUUAGAUCCAACUCCUUCAGGUUGUGCAAUUUGCAUAAUGCUGCAAGUUUAAGUUGUUAAAAAGUAAUACUCCAACAUGCGAAGAAGUGAAGGAGAUAAGGGUCAUGGGUGCAGAAUCUUUUAAAAAACAACAAAUCUUAGAGUUCUAAGGAUUCAAGGGGAAGUGCUCAUUAUGUUAAGCAAAUAUUAACAGCAGUAAGCGUUUGUACAAAUUAUACUACUACAUACUGAGGGAGAUAAGCUGUAGCAUCAUGUAGGUUUGAUCAAAUGAAACAUGAAUACAGGUAAUGAAAGCACUUUUUGGUCAAAUGAAUACCUUCUGGCAUGAUCCAGUUGCCAAUAGCAUUGCCAGAUACAUACAGAGACUGAAGAUGCGUGAAACGAGACAACAAGGUUGCAUCAGGAUGCCAUAUUCCAAGUCCAAGUUGUCUUUUAUUGGUAAGAAAAAUAUCAAGAACACGCGAAUCAUUGUUCGGAUCACUGCCACAAAAUACCAGCCCAUGCACAAUAGUCUUCUCCAACCCAUUCAUUAAUUAAAGGAGAGCCAUUGGGAUAGUUAAGGGAAUCCCUCAGCUCUAAAAGUGCCCUUUUUUCCUCUUCCACUAAAUUUCCAUUGCAACCCAAGAAAUUCAAGCACAGCAGUAUCCAGCAUGUCCCUAGAAGCUGAAGCAUAGGACACAACCCCCCAGCCAUAGUACUGUCAAUAAACUUGCCCUCUGUUAAAUAGAGGCUUUGCCCUCUGUUAAAUGUAGGCAUUACAGCCAUGAGUCAACACCAAAAAAAGAUUUUGAGGUCACCAGAUGAUCAUAGACCUUAGGUACAUCAGUAAUUGGUUAUUAGCUGUUUUUCCAAGAUAUAACAGUGACCUUUAUAUUUAGACGUUAAGAUAUGCCAAGUUUUUCAAAGAUAUGACAGUGACCUUUUUAGACUUUUAGACAUGCCAAGUCAAGCAGGCCAAUCCCUUACUUUGUCCAACAAAUGCUGCCGCCUUGCUGGAAUUUUGGUCCUGACUUCUAAAAUCAACUAUUCAUAUCAUCUUUUAAUUAAAGGUUCUAUUAAAGGGCAGUGUUAACCUGUGCGCACCUCCACUAUUCCAUCAAGUAUAUGUAUCCUCCCACCAAUACAGAUACCACUUAAGCACAUGGAAAAAAGAUCAAUUACCAUUCUCAUCAUCUUAUAGUCCUCAAUCUAAAUAAUGUUAAUGAUCAUCUU
rnacentral:lncRNA from 1 species